UGACAACUUGUUAAUAACAGAAAGUAAUAAUUCGAUUCAAAAAUUAUUCAUAAUGUACAUAAUUGAAAGAUAUUUUUCUGUGUGAUAGACUGUGGAUGUAUAAACAGGGGAAUGAAAAAUAAACAGACGGAACACAAUCUCAAAUCAAGCAAAGCAUACAGUACAACAUAGAACAUUGGUUUCUUAUUAUGGUCAAAAAGCAGUUAAAAUAGCAUCUGAGGUAGCAAUUUGAACUGAAAACAUUGUCUUAAGCAGAAGUUCAGAGAGUAUCUAAAUGACAAAGCAUUGCCCCCAAUUAGAACCUGAUCAAGUAGCACUUAAUCUCAUAGCCAAGUGCAACUUGCCCAGAAAAAAAAAAAAAAAAAGGUCAACAAAUAAACCAAAUUACUCAACGUAUUCUAGCAACAUACGCAACAGAGGCUGCAACCAAAACUGUUGCUGCUGAAGAUACCAAAGCCCAUAAGCCUUUCUUCUUAUUUGCAUCUGCCACAGAAUUCUGGAGGAACUUCACUUGUUGCUUCAUCUCCUCUAUUGCUGUUUCCUUGUUUCUAAAUGAAUUUUUAAUUACUUUUAGUUCUGUUGCAUAUGGCUCAAUUUCAUCCUCAAUUUUCUUUUCAGUGAAGGACACUUCUCCCUUUCCAUUAUUAUAUUGACGUANNNN
rnacentral:lncRNA from 1 species